rnacentral:piRNA from 1 species
UGCCGAUCACGUGACCCGACUGACGGAGC